AUAAGUAAGAGUUUGAUCCUGGCUCAGAACGAAUGCUAGUAGUAUACAUUACACAUGCAAGUCGAACGAAGAGAGCAAUCUCUUAGUGGCGUACGAGUGAGUAAUAUGUGAGUAAUCUACACAUUAGUAAUGAUGUUAAUUAAUUGAAAAAUUUUGUAAUCCAUUAUAGAAAUUAGUAUUGUAGGAUAUUAAUUGAAAGGAAUUUAUUUCGCUAAUGAAUGAGCUCACACCAAAUUAGGUAGUUGUUAGUGUAAAGGACUAACAAGCCGAUGAUUUGUAGCCGGCCUUGGAGGGUGAUCGGCCACGUUAGAAUUGAAAAAAGGUCUAAUUUCCUACGGGAAACAGCAGUGGGGAAUAUUGGGCAAUGUGGGAAACCAUGACCCAGUAAUACUACUUGAGUGAUGAAGGUAUUAACUUAUUGUAAAACUCUUUUCUUGAUUAAGAAGAUGACUAGUCAAGGAAUAAGCACCGACUAACUUCGUAUUUUAUAGGUGCGAAGUAAAUAUAGUAAUAUAUUUAGAGAAAACUUCACUAUAUGCUGGAAAGUUAUAUGAAAGUACUAUAUACUAAAGAUUAUAAUUUUAAUAUUUAUGUUAAAAAAUAAUUUACAGUGAAAAUUAUAGUAUAAUGUCCGAAAAACGCGAUUAAAGAUGGACAGUAUAAUAAUCAGCAGGCAAUUUAGUAAUUAUAAAUAAUUAAUAAAGCGCCUCAGAGACUACACGUGAAGCUCCUAUUUAUCUCUUUUAUAAAUAAUUUUGGUAAAGUUUUUAUUUAUAAAAUGUAAUUAGGAUGGUGAUAUAGUCCGAAUAGAAUUUUUAAAUUUAUUUUUUAAAUUUAUACAAAUAAAUUCUAUGCAAUUAAUUUGAAAUAUAUAAUAUUUAAUAUUUUAAACAAAAAAAUUAUUGUUUAUUUAUAAAAAUUAAUUGGCCAGCAAUCGCGGUAAGACGAAGGGUGCGAGCAUUGUUCGGUUUAAAUGGGCUUAAAAUGUGCGUAGAUGAAUUUAUAAGUGAAUUAUAGGGAUAUGGCAUAACCAUGGGUAUGUAAUUCAUACUGUAGAUUUUGAGAUAUAGGGAGGUUAAUGGAAUUUCUAGUGUAAGAGUGAAAUCUAAUGAUAUUAGAAGGAACACCGGGGGCGAAGGCGAUUAACCAUCUAUUUCUGACAUUGAGGCACGAAAGCGUGGGGAGCAAAACGGAUUAGAUACCCGUGUAGUCCACGCCCUAAAAGAUGAGUAUUUGACGUUUGGUUGUAAAACUGAGUGUCUAAGUGAAAAUGAUAAAUACUCUGCCUGGGGAUUACGUACGCAAGUAUAAAACUCAAAGGAAUUGACGGAAUCUCGCACAAGCCGCGGAUGAUGUGAUUUAAUUCGAAGGUACUCGAAAAACCUUACCAACUCUUGACAUACAUUUGAUCGAGUUAGAAAUAACUUUUUCCUACGGGACAAAUGAACAGGUAUUGCAUGGCCGUUGUCAGCUCGUGCCGUGAGGCGUAUGGUUCAGUCCUUUAACGAGCGAAACUGCCUUCUUUAGUUGCCACGUUUAGAAAUAAACAGCACCCUAAAGGUGUAAUUAUAAUCUAUUGAUUGUAAUAUAAGGGCAAUAACGUCAGGUCAUCAUGAUCCUUAUGAGUUGGGCUAUACACGUCAUACAAUGGAUAAUACAAAGGGAAGCAAUAGGGCGACCUUGAGCAAAUCCAAAAAAAUUAUUCUCAAUCCAGAUUGUAGUCUGCAAUUCGACUGCAUGAAGUUGGAGUGGCUAGUAAUCGCUUAUCAGCAUGUAGCGGUGAACACGUUAUCGAGAUUUGUACACACCGCCCGUCAAGUUGUGGGAAUUAGCUUUAUACAAAGCUCUGAUGGAGUAAAUAUGAAGAUAAUGACACCAAUUAAGUCGUAACAUGGUUGUGCUAGGGGAACCUGGUGCAGGACAAUUUUAGUG
rnacentral:rRNA from 1 species